AACAAAGCAGGAACAUGGGGGAUUAGUGACUUGUAUCUCUCAUACCGGACAUCUUCAGAAAUGCUUGUACAUUUGAAUUAUGUUUCAUUUCUCAUAAUGCAUCAGUUUAGACCUAUUUUUCUUAAUAGGACAACCCAUUAAACCCACCUCGGCCAUAAACGAGCAGAGCCAGAGGAUGGCGCCACAGCUGCUGCUACAUUAUGGUGUGGUCUGGCGUGGGUCAGCUAGCAUUCCAGAGGUAACCACACGGCUGGUAGGAUCCUGAGCCAUCCUCUUCAUCCAAGCUUAUGGUAACAUCGCUGCUUGGAAAGUCAAGGAGCCACAAUGGUGGCGCCCAACCCAUUGUAUGACUUCAUAUUGAAAAUGAACUAAAGCAGGAAGUGCUCCAUGCUCAAAGUUGAGCCAAUGAGCAGCUAUGCAAAAGCUCAAGGCCCCUGACUGCGCUCCUGCUCUUCCGUGACCGGUGUGCACCCGCAGAGCUAUUUACGCCAAGAUAUGAGGUGUCGGCCGUCAUUAAGUCCAAGAAGGAUUUUCGAUAUUGUUCAAAGUCCCUUUGGUUGCAUAAUUAAUAGCGUGCAGUGUUCUUGCAUUUUUGUAUAAAAAGAUAUUUUCCACAGCUUGAUCCCCCAUUGAUAAACUACUUCUUUAGGAUUCAAUGAAAAGCAAAAAAGUGACUUCAAAUAUUAUACGGCAAAACAAAGAAGAAUAAAAAAUAAAAAAUAAAACGACCCACAUUGCUUUGUUCCUUUAAAAAUGUAACAAAAAACAAACAAACAUUUAA